GAAAUCCCUUCAACUCUCGUUUACGUUCUUAAUUAUCUCCAUCAUUCUCUCACAAGGAAUGAUGACAGAUGCGCAGAAAAAGAAUUGUCCUCAUAAAAUUCCAAUAAAAGGAAGCUAUUGUGCUCCAACUAUAUGUUUGGAUAAGUGUAAGAAGCAACAUGGAACUGUUGGUAGUUGUUCGGAAGAAAAAGGAUUUUGUAAUUGCGCUUGUAAGUAAAGGUUCUCACUAAGUGUUAUGAAUCUAGUAAUGUCCAACCAAAGUUUUAUAUUAUUUCUUUUAACAAUAAGUCUAAAUGUUUGUC